GCCGCCCAUAUCUGGGUGAGCCCCAUCUUCACCCAGGCCCAUGUCGGUCCACCCAGCUUGCCAGCUGCUAUAGACAGUCACAAGCCUCGAGGUGCCUUCUAUAGGGCCUGGUUGAAGAAGAUGGCCAGUGGACAGCUUGCUCUCAACUAGCUGGGCCAGAGGGUCAGAAAACCCAGUAGCCCUUACUGCUUGCCCCGGGGAUCAAAGCUCUGCUUUCUCCCCACUGAGACUUGCCUUCCUAAUCCUUUCGGGGACUGAGUCUGUAGCUGAGAGCCUGCCUUGGCAGGCCUCAUGAAGGCAGAGAGAGGGAGAAUGGUGAGUGUGAAAUUGAACCAGAGCUCUUUGGGGCUUUGGGUUCGAAUCCUGGCGGUGUCUCAGAGCAGCCUGCCUGUACUCUCCACUCCCCGCCGCUGUUCUGGUGGUGAGCCAAUGGCUGGGUGCUGAUGGCCGUGUGCCGAUGGCCAUGCGCCCCUGCUUAGCGUGGAUGUGCAGCCCUGUCUGUGGGUCCUCUGAUGCUCUUCUCCAGGGUGUGUGUCUGCUGACGGUUUGGUCUGAACCCAGCUGAGCACAAACCCUGUCCUGCGAAUUCCUGGCAUUUGGGAUUUUUGCUUGACUUUAGUUAUUGGUGGGAUCUUUAGGUCUUGAUAAGACCCAGGCUGUAGCCCCACUUGGAGGGCAGGGGGAAAACCAAUCAGAGACCUGGCUGAGACCCAGACAAGUGCACAUUCACGCAGCAGAAUCUCCAGCACCCCUGGAUUCUACAACUCCGAGUCAUCUAGGGUGUGUAUGGAAGGCUGGCUUACCGCCACAGGAGCACCCCGCUCUGAGAGCUGUACAUGAAAUUUUUGUAAAUCGAACCCUUAUCCUUCAUCUUUUAAAGAAAUACUACCGCAAGUCCUUUUGUAAAGUGAAGAAUUUUUUUGUAGAGUGGACCACUGCCCCUUGUUGAUCUCUUGUGUCAAUCCAGGUGGUGGGACAUGGUUUUCUUAAGGCCAGGCCUGCCUGUGACAUGCGUUCCACACCCAUGGAACAAACCCCGCACAAGCCCUAUACACGUGUCAUUGUACCCUCAAGUCACCGCAGCCACCUCCUACCAGAUUCUGUCUUUGAGGUUAGAGGGAAGACAGUCCUACCCAGUGAAGGGCCUUGAGCACAGCCCUGUGCUCACAGGGCACAAACCUGGCUCUGUCCCCUCCCUCUUAAGUUGUGAGGUCUAGUUUGUGAGUAGGGGAGCAACGUGGUAAUCCUUCAGCACUCAGACUCUCUGUCCAUUUCAGAUCCCCAGCAUCCUAUUUUGCUGAACAUUAGGCUUGUUUUCUUUCCAAUGCUUGGAAUCUCCUGUGAGGAAUCCCAUCUGUGUAAAGAGGGAGCUCCUAACCUCGGUCCUAAAGCUGCGUUUGCUUCCUGGUGGAUUAAUUUGACCUGGGAGUGAACAGUGGCCACAGUAUGGAUGGAUGGAGAGGUUUUAGGAGACAGAUCGCUCAUUCUAUCAGGAACUCAGGCUUCUGGCUUCCUCUUUUCUCAGACUUGCAGAAUGACGUGGAUAAGUUAUCCCUCUCUCAGUGUCCGUUUCUCAUAAAAUACCCUGGCUUGGCCUGUCCACUAGGGCUGUGGAUUCCAUUCCAAGUGAAUUCAUGAAAUUAGAAGCAUUUUGAGACCAGAAAGAACUCUUUCGACCUCAGCAUCAUUCCUGCAAUGGGGUUUCCUAUCCUGAGUCCAGGGCCUGGGCAGUGGGCCAGUCUGCCUGACUGCGCAGGAUCUGGGUAAUUUAGGUUCCAAACCACUUUUGCCUGAGUUAUCCGAAUUGUCCUCAUUUCUCCAGAUUGACCUCAUUUGUGUCUCCUUCCAAGGAGAGGUAGAGGAGUGAGAAUGGAAAAAGAUAUGGGCAGAGAAUAUGUAAGACAUAACACGGCUUCCCGCAACGGGCCUGGGUAGGGAUGGGCAAAGCCUCAUGUUUUUGUAAGACCGACUGAAGAUUCAAAAUUUUAAUGUUCAUCUGCACCCCACUUGCCCCACCCACCACGCCCUCCUCCUUCCUCUGCCUCAUCACCUAUGAAGAAAUGGCAACCUUCCAAGAAUAAUAACUGUGCCAAGGGAAAAGAUGUAAAGGGGGAAAAAAAUCGAGAACAGAGAUGAUCGUAAGAACUGGAGGGAUUCGCAUCUUUUCAGGAAAAUUCUUAUGCUUUUAUUGGCGGUGACAAACGACAAGAUGGUACAACCUUUCUUCUUUUCCAAAAACAGAGCAAAGGGCCCAGCAUCUGUAGUCAGCCGACAACUAUCUCGGCCUUUGGGGAUGGUCUGGUCGUACUUGUGAUUCCGAUGAAGAGGAGUAACCGCUCCAGGUACCUUGACCUUUGUACAGCCCGGAGGCCAACACUGUGGGCGUGACUCUUUAGCAACCAACCCUUGUGGUGAUGAUGUGUGUAUAUAUAUAAGGAUAUAUUGGGAAGAUUUCUAAAUAAAAGUUUUACAGACGGG